GCUUCCGUAGUGUAGUCCGGUCAAAUUGAUCAUUAAACUUCUUUUGAAAAGACUAAGCAUGCGAGGCUCUCACCCUCGUGACCCGGGUUCGAAUCCCGGCGGAAGCA
rnacentral:tRNA from 1 species